rnacentral:rRNA from 1 species
AACCCUUAUUGUUAGUUGCCAUCAUUUAGUUGGGCACUCUAGCGAGACUGCCGGUGACAAACCGGAGGAAGGUGGGGAUGACGUCAAAUCAUCAUGCCCCUUAUGACCUGGGCUACACACGUGCUACAAUGGGAAGUACAACGAGUUGCGAAGUCGCGAGGCUAAGCUAAUCUCUUAAAGCUUCUCUCAGUUCGGAUUGUAGGCUGCAACUCGCCUACAUGAAGCCGGAAUCGCUAGUAAUCGCGGAUCAGCACGCCGCGGUGAAUACGUUCCCGGGCCUUGUACACACCGCCCGUCACACCACGAGAGUUUGUAACACCCGAAGUCGGUGAGGUAACCUUUUUGGAGCCAGCCGCCUAAGGUGGGAUAGAUGAUUGGGGUGAAGUCGUAACAAGGUAGCCGUAUCGGAAGGUGCGGCUGGAUCACCUCCUUUCUAAGGAA